rnacentral:rRNA from 1 species
UACGGAGGGUGCAAGCGUUAUCCGGAUUCACUGGGUUUAAAGGGUGCGUAGGUUGAUUGGUAAGUCAGUGGUGAAAUACUCCGACUCAAUCGGAGAACUGCCGUUGAUACUAUCAAUCUUGAAUACGGUGGAGGCGGGCGGAAUGCGUCAUGUAGUGGUGAAAUACUUAGAUAUGACGCAGAACACCCAUUGCGAAGGCAGCUCGCUACACCGGCAUUGACACUGAGGCACGAAAGCGUGGGGAUCAAACAGG